GCAGCCGUAGCUCCGGUCCGAGCUGCUGCCGUCGCUCUCGCUGCGGUCCUCGUCCUCAUCGUCCGACAACACGUUUACAUCAGCGUGGGCUCACCUCUACCUGAUGCUCCCCACCGUGUCUCUCAUAGACGCUGCCAGAGGAGCUGCAGAGCUCCAACAGCUCCCGUUCCACCCUCUUCCUUCUCUGCGUCACCUGGGAUCACAUCCCAGCCCCUCACGUUAACCCCUCAGCGGCUUACACUGGAGCUCUUGUCAGUGUCUCAAUGUCUAAAGGUCGUCCACAGAGUUGCAUAGUUGCUUAUCCCCUGAGGGCCGAUGUGGCUGGGGGCCAGGUUGAACCAGGGGCCCGGGUUCUCAUGACACCUGACCCAAAGAACAUCCUGCCUGCUCUACAGAGGGGCCAGAAUGGGUGCCAGUAGAGGACGCCUGCACACCCAGAACAGGUGUGAGCCGAGAUACUGUCCUGCACUAUGGGACCUGCCAAGGUGGGCCCAUGUCUUAAUGCCGGAAGUUUAGAGCUACAAUGGCAAUUUGUCUUUGCUGCGGGAAUUGAGUGAAGGAUUUGAGUGAAGUUGAGCUUACAUUUUCUACAUUAUGUUAUAAUGUGUUAAGUAGAGUAUCAAUAUUGUUUUUGCAUGCAAAAAUUAAGAUUUGAUAGUAAUAUAUUAGGUCUGACAUGUUUAUGUUUACGUGUGAAAUUGGUUAAAGAUAGUUAUCAGGUAGGCUGAGGUAGAUGGAAGAAGCAAUACAGGAUCCGAUUGCCUACUGUUGAUUUCCAGCAUUCACAUGUAAUUAGCAUCCCAUUGUUUUAUAACUAGACUGAGGUUAUUCUGAGCUCAGAAGUGGUUUCAGGUUUGGCUCCCCCUGUUGGCCACAAGAUGACGUGCAGUUAUAAACCAGCCAGUUAUUAUUUCAUAAAGAAUCUUUUGAUAAAAGAUGUAUUAUGUCGAAAGAUAUCCUUGGAAACUUUCUUUAGGAUAUAGUCUAUGACGGUAACAUAUUGUGAAAAAGGAAAUGCUAGGUGGGUGGGUUAUAGAUA